rnacentral:tRNA from 1 species
GGCUAUAUAGCCUAAGCAAGGCAUUUGAGUUGCAAUCAGACCAUGUAUUAUAUACUGUAGCCA